rnacentral:lncRNA from 1 species
CUGAAUAGAAUCUAACCAAUUUCUUCUGUUUCUCCCUUCAACAUUGUAGUUUGGUUUGCAAUACCAGUUUUUACAAGAUCAACAUCCGGAUCGAACCCUUUAGAAACUGCAUUUUUGAAUUUCUAUACAGAACCCCUUCAACAUUGUAGUUUGGUUUGCAAUACCAUUUUUUACAAGAUCAACAUCCGGAUUGAACCCUUUAGAAACUGCAUUUUUGAAUUUCUAUACAGAAAAAUUCACAGAAAAUAUCAGUACAGAUGCAAAGUACUGCAAUUGUAUCAGGACAAAUAAACAACUCAGAC